CCUGGCUCAGGACGAACGCUGGCGGCACGCUUAACACAUGCAAGUCGAACGAGAGAAGAGAAGCUUGCUUUUCUGAUCUAGUGGCGGACGGGUGAGUAACACGUGAGCAAUCUGCCUUUCAGAGGGGGAUACCGAUUGGAAACGAUCGUUAAUACCGCAUAACAUAAUUGAACCGCAUGAUUUGAUUAUCAAAGAUUUAUCGCUGAAAGAUGAGCUCGCGUCUGAUUAGCUAGUUGGUAAGGUAACGGCUUACCAAGGCGACGAUCAGUAGCCGGACUGAGAGGUUGAUCGGCCACAUUGGGACUGAGACACGGCCCAGACUCCUACGGGAGGCAGCAGUGGGGAAUAUUGCACAAUGGAGGAAACUCUGAUGCAGCGAUGCCGCGUGAGGGAAGAAGGUUUUAGGAUUGUAAACCUCUGUCUUCAGGGACGAAAAAUGACGGUACCUGAGGAGGAAGCUCCGGCUAACUACGUGCCAGCAGCCGCGGUAAUACGUAGGGAGCGAGCGUUGUCCGGAAUUACUGGGUGUAAAGGGAGCGUAGGCGGGAUCGCAAGUCAGAUGUGAAAACUAUGGGCUUAACCCAUAAACUGCAUUUGAAACUGUGGUUCUUGAGUGAAGUAGAGGUAAGCGGAAUUCCUAGUGUAGCGGUGAAAUGCGUAGAUAUUAGGAGGAACAUCAGUGGCGAAGGCGGCUUACUGGGCUUUACUGACGCUGAGGCUCGAAAGCGUGGGGAGCAAACAGGAUUAGAUACCCUGGUAGUCCACGCCGUAAACGAUGAUACUAGGUGUGGGGGACUGACCCUUUCCGUGCCGCAGCAAACGCAAUAAGUAAUCCACCUGGGGAGUACGACCGCAAGGUUGAAACUCAAAGGAAUUGACGGGGGCCCGCACAAGCAGUGGAGUAUGUGGAUUAAUUCGAAGCAACGCGAAGAACCUUACCAGGUCUUGACAUCGUAUGCAUAGCUCAGAGAUGAGUGAAAUCUCUUCGGAGACAUAUAGACAGGUGGUGCAUGGUUGUCGUCAGCUCGUGUCGUGAGAUGUUGGGUUAAGUCCCGCAACGAGCGCAACCCUUACUGUUAGUUGCUACGCAAGAGCACUCUAGCAGGACUGCCGUCGACAAAACGGAGGAAGGUGGGGAUGACGUCAAAUCAUCAUGCCCCUUAUGACCUGGGCCUCACACGUACUACAAUGGCUGUCAACAGAGGGAAGCAAAGCCGCGAGGUGGAGCGAACCCCUAAAAGCAGUCUUAGUUCGGAUUGUAGGCUGCAACCCGCCUACAUGAAGUCGGAAUUGCUAGUAAUCGCAGAUCAGCAUGCUGCGGUGAAUACGUUCCCGGGCCUUGUACACACCGCCC
rnacentral:rRNA from 1 species